rnacentral:rRNA from 1 species
GACGAACGCUGGCGGCGUGCUUAACACAUGCAAGUCGAACGGAAAGGCCCUGCUUUUGUGGGGUGCUCGAGUGGCGAACGGGUGAGUAACACGUGAGUAACCUGCCCUUGACUUUGGGAUAACUUCAGGAAACUGGGGCUAAUACCGGAUAGGAGCUCCUGCUGCAUGGUGGGGGUUGGAAAGUUUCGGCGGUUGGGGAUGGACUGGCGGCUUAUCAGCUUGUUGGUGGGGUAGUGGCUUACCAAGGCUUUGACGGGUAGCCGGCCUGGGAGGGUGACCGGCGACAUUGGGACUGAGAGACGGCCCAGACUCCUACGGGAGGCAGCAGGGGGGAAUAUUGCACAAUGGGCGGAAGCCUGAUGCAGCGACGCCGCGUGCGGGAUGACGGCCUUCGGGUUGUGAACCGCUUUCGCCUGUGACGAAGCGUGAGUGACGGUAAUGGGUAAAGAAGCACCGGCUAACUACGUG